ensembl:snoRNA SNORA73 Small nucleolar RNA SNORA73 family
GCAACGUGGAUACCCCGGGAGGUCACUCUCCCCGGGCUCUGUCCAGGUGGCGUAGGGGAGCAUAGGGCUCUGCCCCGUGAUGUACAGUCCCUUUCCACAACGUUGGAGAUGAAGCCGGGCCUUGAGUCUGCGCCUGCAUAUUCCUACAGCUUCUCAGAGUCCUUUGGACAAUGACUGAGGAGAUAAACCAUGCAGGAAACAGCU